AGAGUUUGAUCCUGGCUCAGGAUGAACGCUAGCGACAGGCUUAACACAUGCAAGUCGAGGGGCAGCACAGGUAGCAAUACCGGGUGGCGACCGGCGCACGGGUGAGUAACGCGUAUGCAACUUACCUAUCAGAGGGGGAUAACCCGGCGAAAGUCGGACUAAUACCGCAUGAAGCAGGGGCCCCGCAUGGGGAUAUUUGCUAAAGAUUCAUCGCUGAUAGAUAGGCAUGCGUUCCAUUAGGCAGUUGGCGGGGUAACGGCCCACCAAACCGACGAUGGAUAGGGGUUCUGAGAGGAAGGUCCCCCACAUUGGUACUGAGACACGGACCAAACUCCUACGGGAGGCAGCAGUGAGGAAUAUUGGUCAAUGGGCGUAAGCCUGAACCAGCCAAGUCGCGUGAGGGAUGAAGGUUCUAUGGAUCGUAAACCUCUUUUAUAAGGGAAUAAAGUGCGGGACGUGUCCCGUUUUGUAUGUACCUUAUGAAUAAGGAUCGGCUAACUCCGUGCCAGCAGCCGCGGUAAUACGGAGGAUCCGAGCGUUAUCCGGAUUUAUUGGGUUUAAAGGGAGCGUAGAUGGAUGUUUAAGUCAGUUGUGAAAGUUUGCGGCUCAACCGUAAAAUUGCAGUUGAUACUGGAUAUCUUGAGUGCAGUUGAGGCAGGCGGAAUUCGUGGUGUAGCGGUGAAAUGCUUAGAUAUCACGAAGAACUCCGAUUGCGAAGGCAGCCUGCUAAGCUGCAACUGACAUUGAGGCUCGAAAGUGUGGGUAUCAAACAGGAUUAGAUACCCUGGUAGUCCACACGGUAAACGAUGAAUACUCGCUGUUUGCGAUAUACAGCAAGCGGCCAAGCGAAAGCGUUAAGUAUUCCACCUGGGGAGUACGCCGGCAACGGUGAAACUCAAAGGAAUUGACGGGGGCCCGCACAAGCGGAGGAACAUGUGGUUUAA
rnacentral:rRNA from 1 species